AUGCUGUCUUAGGCAGCAAAUAUACUAAAAUUAGAACAAUACAGAGAUUAGCAUGGCCCCUACACAAGGAUGACAUGUGAAUUUGUGAAGUGUUCCAUAUUUUU
ensembl:snRNA U6 U6 spliceosomal RNA